GGGCCCGUAGCUCAGUCGGUUAGAGCGGCUGACUCAUAAUCAGCAGGUCGUGGGUUCGAUCCCUACCGGGCCCA
rnacentral:tRNA from 1 species